GAGUGAGAGUGUGUGCGUUAGGCUAGCCACCUAAGUGUAAGAGUGCUCUGUUGUAAUACUCUUGCUGUUGCAGUAAAGAGAGUAUUUUGUCAAGUGCAGGUCCUCAUAUUAGUAGUAAUAGUCCCACCCACUCUCAAGGCUUACCGUGCACUCCAAACUCCGUGCACUCACCCUUCACCACCUACAGUGGGCUGGAAUGGCGGU
rnacentral:lncRNA from 1 species